UACGUAGGUCCCGAGCGUUGUCCGGAUUUAUUGGGCGUAAAGCGAGCGCAGGUGGUUUAUUAAGUCUGGUGUAAAAGGCAGUGGCUCAACCACUGUAUGCAUUGGAAACUGGUAGACUUGAGUGCAGGAGAGGAGAGUGGAAUUUCAUGUGUAGCGGUGAAAUGCGUAGAUAUAUGGAGGAACACCGGUGGCGAAAGCGGCUCUCUGGCCUGUAACUGACACUGAGGCUCGAAAGCGUGGGGAGCAAACAGG
rnacentral:rRNA from 1 species